CAAUAGCGUAUAUUAAAGUUGUUGCGUUUAAAAAGCUCGUAGUCGGCUAUCGGGCGGCGGCCAAUGGUUCGGUUCCGUGCCGAUACUGCUGGUCGCGGCCUCCUCGCCGGUCGUCUUUCGGUGCCCUUAACUGAGUGCCUUAAGUAGCCGGGGCGUUUACUUUGAAAAAAUUAGAGUGUUCAAGGCAGGCGUUUAGCCUGAAUCUUCGUGCAUGGAAUAAUGGAAUAGGACCUCGGUUCUAUUUUGUUGGUCUUCGGAACUAGAGGUAAUGAUUAAUAGGAACAGGCGGGGGCAUUCGUAUUGCGGCGUUAGAGGUGAAAUUCUUGGAUCGUCGCAAGACGGACUAUUGCGAAAGCAUUUGCCAAGUAUGUUUUCAUUGAUCAAGAGCGAAAGUCAGAGGAU
rnacentral:rRNA from 1 species